rnacentral:rRNA from 1 species
UACGGUUACCUUGUUACGACUUAGCCCCAAUCACCGGUUUCACCCUAGGCCGACCCUCGCGGUCACGGACUUCAGGCGCCCCCGGCUUUCAUGGCUUGACGGGCGGUGUGUACAAGGCCCGGGAACGUAUUCACCGCGCCAUGGCUGAUGCGCGAUUACUAGCGAAUCCAGCUUCAUGGGGUCGGGUUGCAGACCCCAAUCCGAACUGAGGAUGGCUUUAAGGAUUAGAUCGCAUUUGCAAACGACCAACUCUCUGUACCACCCAUUGUAACACGUGUGUAGCCCCGGACGUAAGGGCCGUGCUGAUUUGACGUCAUCCCCGCCCUCCUCACACCUUGCGGUGGCAGUACCGACGGAGUGCCCAGCAUCACCCGAUGGCAACUGUCGGAAGGGGUUGCGCUCGUUAUGGCACUUAAGCCGACACCUCACGGCACGAGCUGACGACAACCAUGCAGCACCUUCACUGGCGUCCCGAAGGAAAGAAAGCGUCUCCGCUAACCGCCGCCAGCAAUUCAAGCCCGGGUAAGGUUCCUCGCGUAUCAUCGAAUUAAACCACAUGUUCCUCCGCUUGUGCGGGCCCCCGUCAAUUCCUUUGAGUUUCACCGUUGCCGGCGUACUCCCCAGGUGGGAUACUUAACGCUUUCGCUUGGCCACCGACCGUAUAUCGCCGACAGCGAGUAUCCAUCGUUUACUGUGCGGACUACCAGGGUAUCUAAUCCUGUUCGAUACCCGCACCUUCGAGCUUCAGCGUCAGUCGCGGCCCGGCAAGCUGCCUUCGCGAUCGGAGUUCUUCGUCAUAUCUAAGCAUUUCACCGCUACACGACGAAUUCCGCCUGCCUCUUACGCACUCAAGGGAACCAGUUUCAACUGCAGUGCAGAUGUUGAGCAUCUACAUUUCACAGCUGACUUGAUCCUCCGCCUACGCUCCCUUUAAACCCAAUAAAUCCGGAUAACGCUCGGAUCCUCCGUAUUACCGCGGCUGCUGGCACGGAGUUAGCCGAUGCUUCUUAGUCAGGUACCGUCAUUUUCUUCCCUGCUGAUAGGGUUUUACGUACCGAAAUACUUCAUCACUCACGCGGCGUCGCUGCAUCAGAGUUUCCUCCAUUGUGCAAUAUUCCCCACUGCUGCCUCCCGUAGGAGUUUGGGCCGUGUCUCAGUCCCAAUGUGGCCGUUUGCCCUCUCAGGCCGGCUACUGAUCGUCGCUUUGGUGGUCCGUUACACCGCCAACUGGCUAAUCAGACGCGGGUCCAUCUUAUACCACCGGAGUUUUUCACACAGAAAGAUGCCUUCCCGUGCGCUUAUGCGGUAUUAGCAGUCGUCUCCAACUGUUGUCCCCCGGUAUAAGGCAGGUUACCCACGCGUUACUCACCCGUCCGCCACUAAGAUUACAACUUAGCAAGCUAAAAAGUAAUCUCCGUUCGACUUGCAUGUGUUAAGCACGCCGCCAGCGUUCAUCCUGAGCCAUGAUCAAACUCUA